UUUUUGUUUUUUAAAUUGUUUACUGCUAGUAAUAAGUCAACAAAAAAGUCAAAUACUGUAUAUCUUUCCAGAAAUUAUGGCACUUUGGCUAUGGAGCCUCAUUUUUGUGUAUUUGACAUGUCUCUGGAAGCAUGUAUUAAAAUACAGUUGUUCAAAAUUAACGAAGCUUUAAUUGUAUGUUCAGUUCCCAAAGAUGUGGCUUGGUAGUGUAUUUUGCCACCCAGAAAGGAAUGUAUCAUUGUGGAAUAAAUCUGCAAUAAACAAGAAUAGAUUAAUUAAUAAAUACAGUUUGUACAAUUAUCCACCAGAAACAUAAUUAGCAUAUG